GACGAACGCUGGCGGCGUGCUUAACACAUGCAAGUCGAACGGAAAGGCCCUGCUUUUGUGGGGUGCUCGAGUGGCGAACGGGUGAGUAACACGUGAGUAACCUGCCCUUGACUUUGGGAUAACUUCAGGAAACUGGGGCUAAUACCGGAUAGGAGCUCCCGCUGCAUGGUGGGGGCUGGAAAGUUUCGGCGGUUGGGGAUGGACUCGCGGCUUAUCAGCUUGUUGGUGGGGUAGUGGCUUACCAAGGCUUUGACGGGUAGCCGGCCUGAGAGGGUGACCGGCCACAUUGGGACUGAGAUACGGCCCAGACUCCUACGGGAGGCAGCAGUGGGGAAUAUUGCACAAUGGGCGGAAGCCUGAUGCAGCAACGCCGCGUGCGGGAUGACGGCCUUCGGGUUGUAAACCGCUUUCGCCUGUGACGAAGCGUGAGUGACGGUAAUGGGUAAAGAAGCACCGGCUAACUACGUG
rnacentral:rRNA from 1 species